rnacentral:rRNA from 1 species
UUUCAACUUUUGACCUCGGAUCAGGUAGGGAUACCCGCUGAACUUAAGCAU